ACACUGCUUCCAUAUUUGCAUAAAGCAAGCAGCCCAGGAGAGACCUUUGGGGGCUUUUUGCCAUGCUUGUCAAGAGUCUACAUGUUGAAAAAUGUAAGAACCCAUUACUUUUAGGAGCUGACAAAGGGAAAAAAAAAACCACCCAGGUCAUUAAAUUAACACUAAGUACGUCAAGAAUCUUAGUAUCGAUAUUUUACCUUUAGAUUGUGGACUGACAGUGGGUCCACAGGCCAGGCCACCAGAGUGAAUGUGCUUUAUAUCAGCUUUCAUCCUGCAGUAAGCAGGUCAGUAGUGAGGUUCUGGCAUUGGUAGAGUCAGUGUCUUAGAAUGGAAAAACAAGUGAGCCUUAUUGUUUGGGGAUGAAUGGUAGAAUAAGAAAGAAAUGGAAAUCGGGGGAUACAUUUUUGGAAAGGGAAGUCUUCGUGAAGAGAUUUUCUGAACGGAUGGAAGGACGGCAUUUAUUAAGUCUGGAUGUUUUAGAAAAGGCAUUUAGGGUCAGGUACAAAACAUACUAGACACUGGGGAGUAAGAGAGUUAUCUGGGGGAUAGGAAGGACAGGAAAAGAACAGAUUCUGAUGUAAAGACCAUAUAUGACAUGCUGGGUAGUGGGACUUCCAUCUGCUCAGUCUCAAGUUUAAGCUCCCUCCUCCCACCCUCCCUCCUUCCAGUCAAGUAUGUGGUAAAUGUCAGUACAUGUUGACAUCAGACAUGUACACAUUAGAUCUAAUGUGUCAGAUCCUUGGGUAAAAAGAUGACUGAGACAUGACUUCUGUCUCAGCAGACUGUCUAGGAGUUAAAUAGGUGUGUGUGUGUGUGGGGGGGGGAGAUAUCUGCCUGUACUUGUGACAUUACAACUCCAUGCCAUAGAUUCUGUAAGUUGUAACAGAGGGCAGUGAGGGAGUAUAGGAUUAACAGCUGGGGGAAAUCAAAAUAUUUGAAAGAAUGUAACAGCUUAACAGGAUCUCAAAGGAUGCAAAAGAGAUUGGGCAAGCAAGCAGUGGAAGGUACACACAAAAAAGGAAAGCCACCAGAAGGGCCAUGGGGUAAGUGGAAAUGAGAAGAGACGCUAAGGCAUAGGUGCUGAAGUGAAUUUGUUUAGGAACAAAUUUGAAUACCUUGUAUUUCAAAUGAAAGAGACCAGGUAUUUUCUAACAGGCCCUGGUUUGCGGAGGCAGUCAAGAGACUGGAAUAUUAGAAAUCACUAAAGCCACCCGUGGGAAUCCUAUACAAAACAGGUAUGAGUUUGGAGAGCAAACGAAUUUAACAGAAUACCUUGAGAACGGAUGACAGUAGUGGGUUGUGCCAUGUAGGAUAGAGUGUACCUGUUAAGACUAGAGAAUCUUAUUUCAGUGCAACAGGGGGUUGGUCAAAGAAUGAUCGUGGUUAAAUUAGUGUAGGGUUUUCUGCAGGAAAGAAAGGGAAGAAGGAAGAAAGAAGUGGAAGUUAACAGACCUAAAAUGGGUCAGUUGAAGUAUUUAGACAAAGAGAGGAGAUACGGGAUUUUUGGCAGGGACAAAGGUCAUGAUCAAGUAAGCAUGAGGAGCAGGACUGACAUUGGGUAAUGCAAGAGUAUGUGAAUCCCAGUUUGGUUUUGAGUAAGCAAGGAGGCUACAGGCAAAUGGGCAAGAGGAAUAGGAGACAACUGGGAACAGGGGUAGACCAUAACCUGGGGCAAACUGGUUGAAUUUUAGGUAUAAGUAAGGGCCUAAGACAAUGUGUAGGUAAGUGACACAGAAACAGAUUAAGAUAGCAAACAGAAAUAGUAUUAGAAUGUUUCUGAAAUGUUUAUGACAAAUUUUUAAGUAAAUGGUUUGGCUGAUAGAAGGAGAGGUUACAGGGCAUCUAAGGUGAACUCCAGCAAAAACACUGGUACCAAUCUAUUGAUGUUGCCAGAAAGGAUGGCUAACACUGGGUGAUGAGCGAGGGGGUGAGGAGGCCCUUUCAUAGCAAGAGAACAAUAUUGAAUCCAUUGCCAUAACAAAGAUGAGAACUUCAUGAAUGAAGCCAGGCAAAUAACCAGAGGGAGUAAGGGCAGAAUGCCCUGGAGAGCUACAUUAAAAUUCCUCUCAGAAGAGGCUUGUCUUAAGAGAACUGACUGAAAUGAAAGGUAGCUACUGAGCAGACCUGUGUGAAAGAACACAAAUUAGAGAAAAGACAGACGCUGGAAACGAAGUCAGGAGAGAGACGUGGGGGUCAGGCCGGGCACAGGACACGCAGCAGGGAGUUGCCAGGUCUCAGCCACCGGAGGGGAGACUGAUUAAAUAAGACAUGUGGCUAUGAGAACAUUCCAGAAAACUUUGUUGAAAUAAUUUAAAGGCUAUGGCCAGUGGGGCCGAAAUUAGAAAGGGGUAGAAGGGCUAGAGGUAAAAUGCCAACUACAGCAGUCCGUGCAGGUCCAGACUGCACCGCACAGGAACGGCUGCCGUACACAGCAUGUGGGAAGACUGACACCACUCGAGGAGUGAGUGCCAAACCCGAGGAGCAAAUACCCACCAGGAAAGAGUGCUGAAUCCCCAGGAAUGCUCUGCACGUGGCUGGAGGGCUGCUGAAAGAGAAGGUUUUCUCUAGGACAAAUGUAGGGGAAGAGGAGGAAAGGUACAGAAAAAGCAGCAUUAAGUUGCUCUCAGAUGGGAAGGAGUCCCUAAGGAAUAACGUAACGGCUGCCAGGAUGGGACGUCAUUCCUGGGCCGUAAGUCGUGACGCAGUAUGGAGAAACUGGAAGCAGAGAAAAGGAAACACAGUAGUGGAAGACCCACAAGGCAGAGCAGGUGAGGGAUGAAGAAGGUCUAGAUGGGGCAUCCUGUGAGAGCUUUAAACAGGUCACUGGUUACGUUUUGGGUGUUUUGUGUAGAAGUAUUAAAAAGUGUGAGGAGCAAGGACUUCAGUCAGAGGCAGGACACUGGGUAAUGCAAGAGUAUGUGAAAUGGCAAAUGGGCAAGAGGAAUAGGAGACAACUGGGAACAGGGGUAGACCAUAACCUGGGGCAAACUGGUUGAAUUUUAGGUAUAAGUAAGGGCCUAAGACAAUGUGUAGGUAAGUGACACAGAAACAGAUUAAGAUAGCAAACAGAAAUAGUAUUAGAAUGUUUCUGAAAUGUUUAUGACAAAUUUUUAAGUAAAUGGUUUGGCUGAUAGAAGGAGAGCUCUUGGGGCCCCCAUUUGGAGGGAAAUUGGGAGUUGAAGGACUUGGGUGAUAGGGAAGUUAAUGAAAAGCUAUCGCUGGUGUCUUUAGAGAUCCUGGUCUUGACUUAGUAGUGUGCACGGAGGUGGUCUGUCCGGAGAAGAGCUUACUGUGCCGUGGGGAACGGCUGAAGAGGAUGAGGGAGCACAUCUGAAGAGAAGUGUCUGGCACCCAUGCCUUCUGUCAAGAGGGGGCAAGUAAAGGAGGGUUGGGUGAGGUGUCUCAUCUUACUUUGUGAAGUGCCGUUAAAGUUGGUCGCUCUUUGAAGCUACCUGCCAUGUGAGGCUUGACUAAAAGUGACAGUUCCUGGGCUGACCGGUAUGAAAAUAGCAUGGAGGAGAAGAGCUAGAAGCUGGAGGCCAGAAGCCAAGAAGGGAGGGCACUUAAGGUGUGGAGUGAACUAGAACCGUGCGAGGAGGGAAGGACACAAAAGAUCAGGACGAGGGCGCUGGGAGGCGGCAGAGCUGACAGUAAGCAGAGAGCUGUGAGCAAAGCUAGAUUACAACCAAAGGAGAGGGUGUGUGGAGAGGAAGUGGCUGAUAAGAAGUGGUGUCACAAAGGAGUGCCAUGUGGGACUCUCCCUUGAAGCCACAGUGUGACCAACAGAGUGAAAGGUUAAAGAGCCUAGGGUGGAUGGAUGUCAGCCACGGAGAGGGGCAGGAGUCCUGUGAAAGUUGGGGUUGAACGGAGGGGCCAAGUGCACGUGGCAGAGCAGGGACAGAACAAGGAAGAGGAAAAAGGCAACAGCCAAACCCAUGAGAGAUGAUACCAAGAAGGGAGCUGACCAGACAAGCAGCUCUGUAGGUAAUGGAGAUGCUCAUUUGGGGUCAACCUGGGCAAAGAGUGGGAGAGCUUGCGGAAGAGGUGGGGGCACCUGAAGAUCAGCAGGUUUGGGGAGGAAGGCUAUGGUGCCAUGCCUGGGGCAAAGAUGACGAUCACAUGAGAAAGGAGAGAGGUGGAGACUGCAUUAAGGGAGGGCUGUGGGAAGAGCAGUGGGGAGCAGGGGGAGUGGCAGGGACAGAGAAGGUGAAGAAUAAAGUUCCCCAGAAUGGGAAAUCCCGUAAGAUCUUGUAAGAGGUCUGUCUGGUUGGUUAAAUGUUGGGUCUUAAAGCCAAACUGAAAGCAGUAUGUAGGACGACAGAAGAACAGGGCCUGAAGGGGAGCAGGCUGUUCUAGUGAGGAGGACUGGAAGGACAAGGAUGAAGAUGCCCCUGGUACAAAGCAAGGACAGCACGUGGACCCUGGAGUGCUGUGAGUAGUGUGUCUGCAGCAGGGAGGACAAGUAUUGGGCGACGAGUGUCCGGAGGUCAUGGUGGGAACCCAACUUGAGUAGAACUUUGUUACUUCUCUGUACAGGUGGUAGAUGAAAUUACACUGUGUGGAAUAAAGACAUGUCAGGGCAAGCAACCGAAGGGAUACAGAUAACUGUCACGUGAGCGCCACACUGAAGUCACCCUAGAAUUUACUGUCAAGCGGAGAUGUUUUGCUAGUGGGGAGAGAACCUGGUGGAGAGCUGUUGAGGAGGAGGCCAUGCCUGAGGGUCGGGGGGUGGUACUCAAGAGAAGGCGGCUUAUUUCUUCAGGGCAGGAAAGGUAAUAGGAGACAGGCAUGGGAGAGCGACAUUACAGUUGCCCCCAGAUUAAAAGGUUACCUGAAGAAUGUCGGGUAUUGACUGGAAAGAGAAGGCCCCACACGUGGGCCAGAGGUGCGGGGUGGGGGCGGGGAAGAGGGGUUAAGGUCAAGACGAGCAGUGUGGAGAGAGCAACUCUGAGGAGCCGGCGUGGUACUAAGAAAAACCGUGUGCACCACGCAGUCCCCCAGAAUGGGGGACCCCGCUGGCAACAAGGAAGGGCCUCACUGGCCUAAUACGUUGGGCAUAAGGCAACACCACAGGGACUCGUGCGUGUACUGGGAGAGAAAGAAAGGCCUGCAAAAUAAUGAAAGUCAGAAGUGGACUCGGUCUUGAUGCCUUGGUGGGAAAUUUUUAAUGAAGGGACUCGGCUGAGGGGAGUGUUUAGAGCAGUGCUUCCUAACACGUGUGCUUCAGCCCCGCCUGAGCCGCUGAGUCUGUCUUAACGAACUACAGUUUGAGGACCACUGCUCUAGAGGAAGGCAGAUGAGCCAUUCUGAUGAGUCUUGCUAAGCAGCCUGUCAUGUGAGCACCCGCUGACAGAGAGGCAACUGGGGAGACUGUACGAAAGGACAGGGGAUACGGAGGGAAGGGAGGUUAGAAUAGGGCAAGGGGCCCCGUGACUCCUGCUAGGGCAGGGAGCUUGCAGGAGAGUAACCGGGCCAAGGGGAAGGUCACCGAAGAGGGCUGGAGUGAGGGACACUGGGAUGUGCAGGGUAGGGACUCUGUAGAGUGGUUUUACGUUAACCCAGUCAUGACCACUGAAGAAAGAAAGAAGAAGGGGUAUGGCUACAAACAAGUGAGGAAGGGGAGCUGUUCGGGAGGCCCUGCGGAAGAGGAGGGGGAGAGCGGCCACAGCGGAUGGACCUGUAAUCCAGGCCACAGUCUGAACAGUGAGGGCUGAAUCGGAGGUGUUGGUUUAUCCAGAAGGAAGUCUGAAUCUGUGGGAAUGGUAAGUGCGUUCGUAGUCUCUGGAUGGAGGAAGGAUGCUGAAUAGAAGGUGGUUUUUAUGAGGCAAAAAUCAAGAAAAAGGAGUAAAACACAGUUAAAACUGCCAUCAGAUGAGAAGAUAAACCACUGAAUACUGACAUGGAAAUGGUCCCUGACGCUAACUGUAUGUAUAUGGCACCACACGUGGGCCAAAGGUCAUGAUGGAAAAGGAAGGAGACUGGUUAGUUGCUCUCUCAGGGAAGGGCUUGUCUAAAAAACAGACACUUGGUUUUGAGUGAGGGAGUGGGGACCCGAGGGGAAGGAACCUCCAAAGGUCAUCACUCACCACUCUGAAAGGUUAAGAUACACAAGGGAUACUGGAAAGAAUGUACUUUAACAGGAUGUUAAAGACAUGCUCGGGAAUUAAGGAGAUGCUAGGAUUUGCAGAAAGUGAGAGAAGCAACCAAGGAGACUUGCAUGAACGAAGAGCAAGAGACGGAGGCUGGGAACAAUAAGGCGAGGGGAUGUGUGGGUUAUGCAAGGCUGCAAAAUGUACAGGUAGAAAAAUAAAUACGGAAGGGCAUUAGAGAGGGCCAAAUGGGAACUUGAGGAAAUGGGAGUUGGACAUUUGUCAGAUUUGUGUAUUAACAAGGAGAGAGAGUGAGGUAAGAAGGUGGUGGAGUCGGACUUGGGAGUUCGGGGUUUGCUCUCCAGGAUGCUUUGCUGGAAAGAUCCUGGAGGUAGCAUGUCUGCUCAAUAUAGGGAAAGGUCAAAUAGGCUGAGAGGCAUGGAUGUAAAAGGCAAACCAGUAGCAGGAAUACUGUGGAUGUUUAUGCUGAACUGAGAGGAAGAGAGGAUGCGGUGAUGAAUGUAGGACACCAGGGAGAUGGCAGUGGGUUGAGCAGUGAGCACCCAACAUCUGUGUCCUGAAGAGCCAGUGGAAAUCUGGAAGAAGGAGAUGGAAGUAGGCGGUAGCUGGAAGGAGGGACACAGAAGCUUGGGCAGCAUGUUUCUCUGGGGUAAAAUACAGUACAAGGAGGAGAGGAAUGGAAGAGCAAAGCGAAGAUUGCUGCAGAUGUGAAGGAAGGGUUUGAGAAGCAGCCAAUUCUUGAAGGCUGAUGGGCUAGGCACAUGCUUAGACCAGGGUUGGGAUGGAAUAAGAAGCGGGAGAGGGUUUGUGAGCGGAGAAAAGGACCAUUGUAUGAGUUAGAGAAGACUUAGUAAAUGGAGUGGCAAAAAUGCAGACCAGGUUUAAGGGACUUUGAUUAAGAUGAAUUCUAAAAAGAUGUUGCUAGCAAUCUUAGAAUACAUCAGGAUUGACCAGUCAGGGAGUGUGGGUGAAUGGUUUGUAGACAAGAUUAUGUGUAUUUCUUGAGUGGUUAGAAAUCAUAAGGGACAUAAAGCUUAGGUGCGUACCCAUUGUUAGGGUACACUGCAGGGCGGUGGUACACGUGAUGUGAGGUGUCGUGUGGUCAGUAUCGGUGAUGUGACAGCUGGAGGGGUAGUUAAGAUAUGUAGAGCAUAACAAAAUACAAAAGAAGAAAGGAGUUAAGUAAUGGGCACAUUCAUGAAUUUGAGCAGUUUCUCAGUAGUCAGAGUGACAAGAAGGCAAAUAAGAUGUGGACUAAAGAAACCCAGAAUGGAGAAAUCUGUCAGGUCUAAGAAGAGGUCUAAUUGGUUAAAAUAUUUGGUGUUAAAGGCUGCAAUGAAUGGUGUAUAUAAUAAAUUAAAGGCCUGCAUAUGGACAGAAGUCAGAAAGCAGAUUAACUCUUGAAGUCUUGAUGGGAAAAAUUUUUUAAAGAAUAUGUGUGUGGUGUGUAUGUGUGUGUGUGUGUGUGUGUGUGUGUAUGUAUGUGUGUGUGUCUAUUCACACAUACAUGUAUUUAAAAUCCUCAAGGAUAGCAUUACAUGUUAUUGAAGGAGACAAAUAUUUUUUAAAAUGAUAAAUAUAGAAGCAUCAAAUUACAUAGUGAGGGAGAGGAAAGUGAUUCUGAAGUGGUACAGAGGAAAUCUUAAUUAUAUGUAAUGUUUUAUUUCUCUUAAAAAACCACAAAUACAACUUAGGAUAUAAAGGAGUGCGGUGGUAGGUGUGUGGAUGUGGGAGGGAUGGAAUAAUUUUCACGGAAAGACCGGAUAUGAAUAGUUAGGAGGCAAGCUCAGGAUGAUUCUUGAUGCAAAGCCAUCGAUGGCGACCUGUUUGUCCAAUGGGAGAGCGCAGCGGGAGGGGUCCGGUGAGAGCAUGGUCUGUAUUCGGUAAGCAGCAGGUGGGUAUCUUUUUUUUUUUUUUAAGGUUUUAUUUAUUUAUUUGACAGAGAUCACAAGCAGGCAGAGAGGCAGGCAGAGAGAGAGAGAGCAGGUGGUUAUCUUUAAGGGAGAAUACCUAAAGAGAAAAAUAACGGCUCCCUCACUGUGAUCAGAGAUGGAAGCUGAAAAUGUGACAGAUGUUAAUAAGCUAUGACGGAGCAAAUAACCAUGGGAAAUUAAGAAGUUGUUGAAGUAUGGGUGUUAAAAUUUGCUCAGAAAUUAAGGUAUCACGUCAGAACUGGCUGGAAGUGCGAGAAACUACCGAGACAUGUAUUUAAAAAUGAGAGAGAAGGAAGAAGUAGAGAAGAACUGAGGCGGAAAUCUGAGAAGAGGGAGCAUGAGAUCUAGGCUCGGUGCAGAGCAGGAAGUCUUGCGGAAUGGCAAACAAGGAAGAGCAGGAAAGGCCAGCACGGGGAGCGCGCAGAGAGAGUCAGAAUUGGAAGUUCAGUGUAGAGUCGCAUGUUAAUUCAGAUUAUCAGAUUAUCAGGAAAGAGGUUGGGAUAUGGCUUACAUAAGAACUGGAAUAUAACGUGUUGCUACCAGAAGGCUUUGCUGGAAAAAGAUGGGAAGCCAUCGGUGUUGUCAAUAGAAUGAGAAGCUAGAGAGAGAUUAAACGGGAUGGACACAAAAUGGGCCACAGUGGGGAGCUUUGUCAGUGCAGGCUGCAUGGAAGGUGCAAACAGACUCCAUACAGAGUGUAGGAAAUAAGGAAGAUCCAAGAAUUCAGCCUGUUCUGAAUAUCAAAACUGUCGAGGAGGCGGUUAGGUUCCCUGGAAUGAUCCAGCUGAAAGGAGGAGGAAUGAGGGAGGAAACGUAGGGUGUUUGCCGCAGCAGGAGAAAGGGAAAAUGGAGAAAAGAACAGAAGAGCAAUGUUCAGGCUGCCUGCAGACGGAACACUGUUAUUUGCAAAGUCCUACUGAUGGGAGAAAUGGCUGUUGCUGCCUAUGUGCGCCAAAGGUCAUGACCGAAUGAAUACAAAGGAAAAGAGGAUGGCACGUGAGCGCAGAGGCGCAGUAGGAAUUAAGAGAGCACCUGAAGAAAGGGCACGGCAGCAAGACACAACAGGUGUGAAUGAAAGAAACAGAGCAGCCGUCCCAUCUUAGAACUGGGUCUGGAAUGGGAGCGGCUCCAGCGCCUGAAGAACAGCAGGAGCUGGGUGGGCUGGCUCCUGAAGUCUCCACUUAUUUAUGACUCAGUGAUUGCUUCCUAGGAAAGGUUAGGAGGAGAUGGACUAAGAAAAACGCUGAUAAGCCAUUGGUGGAAACCUUAAAAACAUCCCCACUGGCUUUUUAGGAGGUGUGGAUUGAAUACUUGUUCUGUCGACAAAUGAAUGCUUAUGGGUUGAGGAGUGGUGGGCGCUCACAGUGAAUGCUUAAGAUCUGGUAGGGCAGAUACUCAAAAGAAAUUAUGGAAGACUCACCUGGGAGUGAUGUUAGAUCUGCUGAGAAGUUAAGGAAUUGUGUAAGGACUGGCUGAAAGCGGGAGAAGCAACUGAAAAGAUGUGUAUAAAACGAGAGGAAAGAGGAAGGGAGAGAAGAUGCUGGUUAGAGGGGAGGUAUGACUUAGGCUGGGUUUGGGAUGUGCAGGGUUCAAAAUGGCAAAUACCACGUAGACCAGAAUGAGGGACGCAGGUGUCAUCUACCAGGUAACUACACACAUUAUCAAAGUACUUGUUACCAUGAAGUUUUUACCUCUAUAUCCCCAUGUGCUUGCAAAACCACAGUAAGUCAGCAUUAUUUUUUGCACACAAGGGUGUUCAGACUAGUAUGCGUUUGCUGGGGUUGAAGCUCUUCUGCUAAUAGGCUUGCUUCAAAGUUUUUCAAUGUGUUGUGCGUUGUUUCCAUCACUUUCCCUACAAAAUGCGUGGAACUACUCAAGCAAUUCGCCAGUCGGUAAGUAAAUGUUCCAAAAAGUUUCUUUUUUAUAUAUUUCACUUAAAAAAUGUACGUGACUUUGUUAUUUAUCUUGAAAGCCUUUCAUUAUUCCUCACAGUGUAAAAGGAGAAUGCAUUUACGGACGGUCUUGUAUCUUAGCAUGGGAGCACUGUAUAUUGCACACAAACACGUACCCUAAGGAAUGAAUUAUAUGUUAAGUAAUUAUGUAGUUGUCCUUUAAAAUGGUUUAUACUAUAAGAAAUACUUGAAAGUUCUUGUAAUAUUUUUGUGAUGGUUGAGAAAAUAGGUUGGAUUUUUUUAAAAAGGGAGAUGUAAAGGGCUUUUUCAAAUUUAAAAUAGAGCAACGUAAGCAUUUACUAACAAAAAUUGUUACUCAGCAUACUUUAAGCCAAGGAUAAUGAAAAUUGUUUAUACUUAUAAAGCAGGUAAGUCAGGAAGAGAACUGUGUGGUAAGGCAGUUCUCAAAAGAAGAGAGAGAGGAGUAAAAUGAGCUGUAUGUUUGCGUAACAAAGUGUGGCUGACAAAGAGAAGGGUUAGGGACGGGUCCCAUCAAGUGGGCUUAAAAGGAGGAAAGUGGCAGGGAUCCUACCAAGGAAUAAAUAGAAGCGAAAGCCAGUUAGCAAAAUCUGCAGGAAAGAAGAAAUACGGAACCAGAUAGAGCAGUGGAUGCAGAAUACAAAGAGGAGCCAAACAGGGAGUUACUAGUGAGUGGAGGAGAAUGAUACAUGCUCAGUAUAUGAGUGGUUAAUAAAAGAUAAAAUUGGGGAGGGACACCAAGAAAGUGGGUGGAAAAGCAAAACGUACCUUCAAGUGGGGAAGGUCAUGUGCAGAAGGACAUACUGAGGCAAGGUUUGGCACUGUACCGGUAGCUAAUAGAACGAGGAAGAACACAGAUGAUGGAAACUAAGUAAACAAGCACUGGAUGAAGUAGCCCUUGUUUCCAAGUAACUAGAGUGAAUAUAAGGGGAAGAUCUUCUAGUAAGGAGACGCAGAAGCAUGAGGGGAGUGGAGGUAGUGCACGCAUCAAGGAAGCGAAUACAGGAUUACAGGUGGGCGGAAGGUCCAGAAGAGCAUGAAGGCAGGAUGGAAAGAAGUCAGAAGGCAUGCAGGCAUUAGAGUAGCAUGUGUGCAAAAGGCAAAGGGGAAAAGAGAGAUCAAGUUGCGUGUUUAAUCCGGUUCCAAACAAAGGAGGGGGAAAGAGGUUAAGAAAUGGGUCAAAAGGGACUCAGAGGUCAUAGGGGAAAAGGGUGUCAUGGAAGGGCACUGAAAAGUACACAUUCAUAUCUAGAAAGGGCAUUGAACGUGAUGAGAAGAGCGGUACUGGGCAGAUUAUGGGCCAGGGGUGGGAGGGCAGGGAGAGGCAGGCAUGGGGGCACUAUGCAGAAAUGGGCGGAUAGGACUAGAAGAGUCUCCUAUUCGCUUUUUCUCAGGGACAAAAGUAUCCUCAGUAAUAAUGGAAAUAAAGGAGGAACAAAAGUUGCAUGACUUAAUACUAUAUGCAGAGACCAUGAAAAAGUGAGAGUACAGUAAAACUAAUGCAUGAUAGAGAAAACAGUAAAGAGUGACUAAAGGUGGUUGGACAGUGAAUCUUGCAAAACUUAUCACAGUAUGGAAAUUAAGGAGCUAUGAAGGGUAAAUGAAGGAAGAGAAAAUGUCCAGUGGGAACAAGAUGGAAAUCUGGUGAGGGAGUUUAGAGUGUGUUUAUCUUUUUGGAGCUGAGUUCAAGCUAGGCUCCAGUUAUCAACAAGAUCUAGAAGAGAAAGAAACAAAAGGUCCGGGAAAGAGACUGGAGUAGAGGGAUGAGGGAUGGAAGGAAGAGAGUCGAGAACCGCCGGCAAAACAGUGGCCGUGGAAAAGAAUGAGAGCUGCAGUAGAUUUCCAAAGGUCUGUCGGAGAAAGGAAACAGUAAGCACUUUGAAAACCAGUAAAAUUAAACACUGGAAUGAAUGAGGCAUGGAAUAGGAUAUUAAGUAAAAAGAAAAGUCAGACUCAAGAAUGACUCUUGAUGACGAGGGAAGACAAAUCCAAGAAACAAAAAAGUAUAACUUUAAAGUAGCCUAGGCUUUGGGGCCCAUCUGUGUCAUAGUGUAAAUACGGGGGGGACGCAGGGGAUCCAAGGGCAGAGAGCCGGCCCGUGUCAGCCGCUGGGGCGGUGCUGGGCCUGGAGGACAAGCGUUCCCGGCCGCUGAUGGAAGCAGGAGGCCAGAGGUGCGCGAGGGCGGGGCGCUGCCCGGGGAGUCUGGGCAACCUUCCAUUGCAGUGAUUCUCCCCGAGGAUGGGGGGGUGGUUUUCACCCGAGGGGGGCUGUGGGCACGGCCCCCAGGGCAGGCCUAUCAGAACAUCUGAGGGGGAGCAGUGCUCUGCUCAGUGCAAAAGCAAACCCAAAAACACACAAAAGCAAACCCAAAAACACGCCCAGAUGAUGACGCUGAUAGGCGGUCUUGGGGGUCGUGGGUCCUCGGGUGAGAAUCACUGGGUGGAAGGGGCCGAGUGGAAGGUGGGCAGAGAGGUGACACUUGAGCAGGUGAGCCCCCGGGCCAGGGUAGGUGACGGGGGAGGCCGUAGAGUCAGGGCCGUGAGACAUGGGGAAGGAGGAGCCCGGCCCAGGCAGACAGCGAGCAAAUGGAUGUAGCCGAGAAGGCCUCUGGUUCAAUGUGGGGAUGGGGGCGGUGGGGUGGUGAGGGUUGAAGGCUGGGGUUUACUGUCAGUGGGUCGGGGGUGCAGACCAGCAGAGGACACUGGAAGAGGAAGGCGGAGGGAGACGGCAGUGGCUGGAGCGGAGUCAGCACCGUGUGUCCGAGGCAGAGACGACUGACCUGGGCUGAGCGGCGGGUGUGGGAUGGAGAAGGGCGCGCUCAGCAGAGGAGACCCCGAGUCCAGCGGGAUGACUCCCACAGGGUGGCUGAAGGAACGUCAGGUGGCUCAGGUCACAGGACGGUCCCUGUGCCGCGUGUGCAGGGGAGACGCCAAGCUGGGGCCCUGGAGGUGGGGCAGGGGAGCAGUCUGCAGGGGUGGGAGAGUGUGGGAGAGCAGAGGUGGUCCACAGGGCGACAAGAGUGACAAAGGACAGGUGAUGGGGCCUGGCAGGGAGGGCGGGAGAGGCUGGUGAGAGGAUCGGGGAGUGAGCCCAGAAGGAGUGGAUGUGGAGAGACCAGGAGCCGGGUCCCCCAGGUGGGGACGAGGGUGUGAGGAAGCUGGUGCAAGAGGAAGACCAUGGCCGCUGAGGACCGUGGGGGAGAACAGGGAGGCCAGCGGAGGAGGAGAUGGGAGAGGUCGUGGCCCAUUUAGAAUGCUGUAGACAACCAAGUUGGUUCAGGGGAUGGUGACAAGACGGAAGGUCAGAGAAAUGCCCAGAGAAUGACCUCCUCCCAAAUGGUGGCCUGAGAAGGCAGAGGGUUUAGCAUGAUUUCCGCGUCAGAGGGCCUCAGUAUAGCUCACUGGGGACGGAGAAGCUGGUCACCUGGGGGUGGGGGUGGGGUGCGGCAGGGCAGGCCAAGUAGGGAGCAGAUGUCAAAGAAAAGAGCUGGGACUCCCUCAUGUGACAGGUGGUAGGGAGUUGGUCAGGGGAGUGGAAGGGAAGCAACAGGGACAGGCAGCAGGGGAGAAAGGAGAGGGCCUCACACAUGCAGGGGCUCAGGAUGGGUAGAGGAAGCACCCUGAAAAGGGGCACGGGGGCAAGAAGGGUGGCAUAUGCAGCAUUGAGAUGGGACGGCGGGAAUGGCCAGGGAAGACCUCAUACCCUGGGCAUCUGAAGACUCGGGACUCUCAUGAACAAAUGCGGAAGGGGCACGAUGAGGUGGAAGGAGGGCAACAGCAUCGCCGCACUGUCAGGCCCCACCUGGAGCCUGUGGCAGGUGGCCUCAGGGACACAGGACAGACUGCUGUGCCUGCUGUCCCGGGUGUGGAUGGCAGAUACACUUAGAAAUGCUGGGGGAGCAUGCAAGAAGCAAGCGUCAGCUAUGCCAAGGGGCAGAGAGGGUGGGGGUCUAGUAGGUAGCAGCAAGACUCCACAGAGGAGGAGGGAGGACCGUCGAAACCAAUGGGGUAUCGGACCUCUCACUGAAAAGCUUGACCAGGUGGACAACAGAGGACCAGAGAGAGGGGGAAAGAGGGGGGCAGGCACAUCCUAGAACCUGCAUGUGGCAUUGCCAAGGGAGAAAGACCAAGAGGGAAGGAGGGAUCUGGACAGUCUCAGUGGGGAGGGGCAGGGCAGCGGCGAUGGGCAGCUUGCGUCAGAUGACCCCCGCGCAGAAGGAAUGGAAGCCGGGGAGGGGAGGGAAGGGGGAUGAGCUGAAAGUGCAGGCCUGGGGCGUAAGGUCCUGUGGGCAAGGGGCGGACUGAAAGGGAGGAGCCUGGAGGAAGGGGGAAUGGGAUGAGGUUAGGAAAAGAGAACCUAAAGGGAAGAGGGAGGCCAGAGCUAGUGAAAGGACCAGAUGAGGGCAGCAGACAUGGCCUGCUGAGGGGAUGGAAAGAGUGUGAGCUGAGAGCAGAUCUCAGGAGGGAGCACACCCGCUGGUGAAGGGAUGACCCAGUGGGACUCCCUGACAGGCACUAGGAGCUUUGACAUAACACAGACGCUGGAGGAAAGGCUGGGUGCUUACCUGCACUGAGGAGGGAAAAGGAAGAAAUGGGUUGUGGGAGGAAAGCUCCUGGGAAGGAAUGUCAAAAUGGGGCACUGUGGCAGCUGAACAGGUCACCUCCCAGAGACAGACUGGGAGACGAUGGGAGGCACUUGGGAGGAUGCAGGACGGAAUGUGCUGAGAGACAGACACCAAGAGGAGUAGUGAGAAGAGAGAAGAGUCAAGUAAGAAUCCGGCACAACUCAGGGGCCUACCAGAAGGAAUUCCAGAGCGUGAGGCUAGACGGCUCCAGCAGAAGCAUGGGAAGGAGGCACAGAAAAGGGCAGUAGCUGUGGGCUCAUGUGGCCUCGAAUGGUGGCAAGAAUAGAACUUUUUGGCCAGGCUCUUUAAUAUGGAUCCGGCUAGGAAGGGGUGGGAGGAGGGGAUGGGGUGGGGAAUGGGGUUUGGGUCCCAGUGGGGUGGCUUUGACUGGGUUGGACAGGACAGCAGGGUUGGGACUGACAGGAAUAGGAUGUAGGUUAGGGAGGGGGACAUGAACCAUGUUCCAGGCACUGAGAAAACCAUCUUCUUAAAUGAGCUUAUAGACUGAUAACAAGUCAAGUCUGGGCAUGAUGAUCACAGGCUGAAGAGAGGGCAGAAAAGACCAGUAAAUCUAUCCACAGAGGACAAAGGAGACAGCUGUGGGAAAGGCAGAAGAGAAGUGGGCUUGGCAGGAGUCACAGAGGGAUGUGAGGCCCACAGGAGCCAGGCUCUGCAGGGACAUGGUGUCACGGGUCUGAAACCAGGAGGGUAACAUAGGGAAGGAGACAGUGGCAAGCACUAAGACCAGUAUUGGACCAAAGAUACUGUCCCAGUGCCUUGUGUCCUAAAGGGUGGGGGCGGGAGGGGUGUGAGGGUGAGGGGGGAUGAGAACAGUGCCCUUGUGCACACUGGGGCUCGGGGCACAUCAGUGUCAAAGAGUAACUACGGAGGGGAUGUAUGUGGUGGUUCCAAGAGGACAGAGCCGGGGCAAUGUCCGAGUGUGGGGAAACGCUAGGAAUUUGAGGAACAGUGUCAGUGACAAAUGGUGGGGGCCAGAGGUGCGCGAGGGCAGGAUGCAGCCCGGGGAGUCAGGCGGCCUUCCACUGUGGUGAUUCUCCCCGAGGAUGGGGGGGUGGUUUUCACCCGAGGGGGGCUGUGGGCACGGCCCCCAGGGCAGGCCUAUCAGAACAUCUGAGGGGGAGCAGUGCUCUGCUCAGUGCAAAAGCAAACCCAAAAACACACAAAAGCAAACCCAACAACAUGCCCAGACGAUGACGCUGAUAGGCGGUCCUGAGGGUCGUGGGUCCUCGGGCGAGAAUCACUGGGUGGAAGGGGCCGAGUGGAAGGUGGGCAGAGAGGUGACACUUGAGCAGGUGAGCCCCUGGGCCGGGGCAGGUGACCGGGGAGGCCGCAGAGUCAGGGCUGUGAGACGUGGGGGAGAAGGAGCCCGGCCCAGGCAGACAGCGAGCAAAUGGAUGUAGCCGAGAAGGCCUCUGGUUCAAUGUGGGGAUGGGGGUGGUGGGGUGGUGAGGGUUGAAGGCUGGGGUUUACUGUCAGUGGGUCGGGGGUGCAGACCAGCAGAGGACACUGGAAGAGGAAGGCGGAGGGAGACGGCAGUGGCUGCAGCGGAGUCAGCACCGUGUGUCUGAGGCAGAGACGACUGACCUGGGCUGAGCAGCGGGUGCGGGAUGGAGAAGGGCGCGCUCAGCAGAGGAGACCCCGAGUCCAGCGGGACGACUCCCACAGGGUGGCUGAAGGAACGUCAGGUGGCUCAGGUCACAGGACGGUCCCUGUGCCGCGUGUGCAGGGGAGACGCCAAGCUGGGGCCCUGGAGGUGGGGCAGGGGAGCAGUCUGCAGGGGUGGGAGAGUGUGGGAGAGCAGAGGUGGUCCACAGGGCGACAAGAGUGACAAAGGACAGGUGAUGGGGCCUGGCAGGGAGGGCGGGAGAGGCUGGUGAGAGGAUCAGGGAGUGCGCUGUGCCACGAGGGUGGUACAGAGCCCAGAGGGAGUGGAUGUGGAGAGACCAGGAACCGGGUCCCCCACGUGGGGACAAGGGCGUGAGGAAGCUGGUGUCAGAAGAAGAGCAUGGCGUAGGUAAGACCAGAAAGCACAGAGGGAUGUGAAGAAUGUGUGAUGAAUGUGGGAGACAUGGAAGGAGGCCAGAGGUUGAGGAAGGAGAGGUAGUUGGCUGGGUAAUUUUUAGAGAGAAUCCUGUCAGGAUGGGGUGUGUCUAGGUCAUAGAGAAGUCUAGAGGAGGACCAACGUUCUCGAAAAUGGCAGAGUUGAAAAGGUGGGGUGCCUAGUGGUGAAUCUGGACAGUAGGUUGAUUCUGUACAGCACCCGGUGUUGAGGAAGGUGGCCAUGGAGGGAGGAGGGCUGUCUUGAAGGGAGCGGUGAAGAGACAAUGGGAUGUCACAUGACUAGCACGUGAUGGGGAGGUAGGACAUAACAUAGAUGGGGAAGCAGAGGAUCUCUCAGAGAUAGGAGUGGUGAACAGGCCGAGGAUGGGCCCAGAAGGUUCAGUCUACAUCCAGCAGAGGGAGAGUGAGACAGUGAAGACUGAGGCAGCCACAAAGAGUGGGUCCAUGGGAUGUGAGUCAUGUCAGGCAAAUCGGUGGGAGAACGAGGGACAGGCAGUAGGGAAGAAGGGACGGAAUCUCUUGAAUACACCAGAGGGUCGGGGCACCGUGGAAAAGGGGAAGGGGUACGAAGAACUUCUAAUCUGGGGACAUCAGCAGAUCUCGGGGGUGGCACAAAGAUUAUCGUGUGUGGUACUGAGGCCGGACAGUAGCAGGGGAGCAGAGGGAAGAUGCUACCACCUGGGUAUAUGGAUCCGGGGCUCUCAGGAGCAAGGGGGAACAGGGGACACAGGGACAGAGGUGACUGAGGAGUGUGGCAGCCCUGUGCAUCAGAACAGGUACUGAAUGGAAUAUCUGAUGGGAGACCUCAGGGAGUUCACGGUGGCCUCAGGGAGUGGAGUCCAGUAUGUAGGUCACACAUAUGCUUUGAAAUGGGGGAGGAGCUAACAGGAAGCAAUGCGGAAGUGACCUUUCUCAACAGUUACCAAAUCCCUGCUUCUGCUAUUCCAGGGUUGAAGGGUGGAAUUCAAACACGUGGCUAGAGACUCCAACAGGGGCUUUCAGCUGGGCAGGGGGAGACCUUCAAAAACCUAAGAAUGCCACAGGUUUGGUCCAGGAACAUGAUGGCGGCAGCGGAGGGGCCCAGGAGGAGAGCAAGGGGCGGGGUGGGGGGUAAGGUCUGGGGAACACUUAUUUUAGUGGACAACUGAGGUGGGAAGCCUUCCCGGGAUGGAGAGAGACAGGAUGGGCUCAAAAUCACAUGGCCGAGCAGGAAGGAGGGCGGAUGGGCAUCUGGACAGCGUCAGUGGGGUGUGCAGGGUGGGGGUGCCUCAGGGGACCCAGGGGAGAAGGAAUGGAAGCAAGGGAGGUGAGGGAAGGAGGACGAGCUGGAAGUCCAGGUCUGGCAUAAAGUCCUGUGUGCAAGGGCUUGACUGAGGGAAGAGAGAGGAAGGAGGAAGGUGAGGUGGGGUGAGGCUAGGGGAAGGGGAGCCUCACACAGGGAGGGGAGUCAGAGCCAGUGGAAGGACCAGAAGAGCGACAGCAGAUGGUUUCAGAGAGGACAAUGGCCCGUUGAGGGGAUGGAAAGAGUGUGAGCUGAGCCCAGGUCCCGGGAAAGGAGCGCCUCGGAUGGUGAGGGGAUGACCCAAUGGGACUCCAUGACAGGCUCUGGGGAGCUUUGAGGUGCACGGGUCCUAGGGAAGAGGCAGGGCGCUUCCCCCAGGCUGAGGAGGAAAAGGGAAGAAAUGUAGCCUGCGAGAAAAGAUCUUGAGAAAGACCCUCCAAAGGGGUCUUGAUGGAGUGUGACAGGAGGGUCACGUCUCAGAGACAGGCAAGGUGAAGGGAGGCACCCAGGGGACGAAGGAGAAGGGAGACAGGCUGGACACCAACAGGGUGAGCAGAGAAGAGGGAGGUGGUGAAGAACGCAUCCAGACCCGUCUCCGAGGAACCCCCCAGAGGAAGUUCAGAGAGGUGGGCCAGACGAGGGUGGCCUGAGCGGCGGCAGGGAAAGGAGGAAAGAAGAGGUGGUGCAGGAGCUGCUCCCACGGCCUGGAAUAUGGUGGCGAGGGUAGAACUUUUCGGCCAGUCUCUUUACUACGGAUCCGGAGGGGACGGGGUGGGAGGUGGGGAGGGGGUUAGUGACAGGACUUGGCUUUGAUGGGGCUGGACGUGAGGGCAGGAUAGGAGCAAUGGAGAGGGGUCUGGGGAGACAUAGGCCAGACUCCAGGCACAGAGAUAAGCCCGUUCUCAAACUGAGCUUGUGGACUGAUUCACACCCAGUGUUGAGGGCGACGAGCGCAGACUGAAGAGACGAUGGGUUAGACCGGGGAGUCCACAUGGAGAGGACAGGAGAGCAGCUGCCAGAAAGGCAGAGGGAGAGGUGCGCUUGGCCAGAGACAGAGGGACGUGAGGGGCAAGGCUCUGCAGGGAACGGUGUCCUGACAUAUACCAAGAGAAAAACACUAGAGGAAAGAGAGAGCCACCAAGAGUGUCAGGGCAGGGGUCAGGAAGAGAACAGUGCUCUAGCGCACAUUGUGGUUUGGGUUAGGUCACAUGUCAGAGAGUAAAUACGGGGGGGGGGGGACGCAGGGGAUCCAAGGGCAGAGAGCCGGCCCGUGUCAGCCGCUGGGGCGGUGCUGGGCCUGGAGGACAAGCGUUCCCGGCCGCUGAUGGAAGCAGGAGGCCAGAGGUGCGCGAGGGCGGGGCGCUGCCCGGGGAGUCUGGGCAACCUUCCAUUGCAGUGAUUCUCCCCGAGGAUGGGGGGGUGGUUUUCACCCGGGGGGGGCUGUGGGCACGGCCCCCAGGGCAGGCCUAUCAGAACAUCUGAGGGGGAGCAGUGCUCUGCUCAGUGCAAAAGCAAACCCAAAAACACACAAAAGCAAACCCAAAAACACGCCCAGACGAUGACGCUGAUAGGCGGUCUUGGGGGUCGUGGGUCCUCGGGUGAGAAUCACUGGGUGGAAGGGGCCGAGUGGAAGGUGGGCAGAGAGGUGACACUUGAGCAGGUGAGCCCCCGGGCCAGGGUAGGUGACGGGGGAGGCCGUAGAGUCAGGGCCGUGAGACAUGGGGAAGGAGGAGCCCGGCCCAGGCAGACAGCGAGCAAAUGGAUGUAGCCGAGAAGGCCUCUGGUUCAAUGUGGGGAUGGGGGCGGUGGGGUGGUGAGGGUUGAAGGCUGGGGUUUACUGUCAGUGGGUCGGGGGUGCAGACCAGCAGAGGACACUGGAAGAGGAAGGCGGAGGGAGACGGCAGUGGCUGGAGCGGAGUCAGCACCGUGUGUCUGAGGCAGAGACGACUGACCUGGGCUGAGCAGCGGGUGCGGGAUGGAGAAGGGCGCGCUCAGCAGAGGAGACCCCGAGUCCAGCGGGACGACUCCCACAGGGUGGCUGAAGGAACGUCAUGUGGCUCAGGUCACAGGACGGUCCCUGUGCCGCGUGUGCAGGGGAGACGCCAAGCUGGGGCCCUGGAGGUGGGGCAGGGGAGCAGUCUGCAGGGGUGGGAGAGUGUGGGAGAGCAGAGGUGGUCCACAGGGCGACAAGAGUGACAAAGGACAGGUGAUGGGGCCUGGCAGGGAGGGCGGGAGAGGCUGGUGAGAGGAUCGGGGAGUGAGCCCAGAAGGAGUGGAUGUGGAGAGACCAGGAGCCGGGUCCCCCAGGUGGGGACGAGGGUGUGAGGAAGCUGGUGCAAGAGGAAGACCAUGGCCGCUGAGGACUGUGGGGGAGAACAGGGAGGCCAGCAGAGGAGGAGAUGGGAGAGAAUGCUGUAGACAACCGAGUCGGUGCAGGGGAUGGUGACAAGACGGAAGGUCAGAGAAAUGCCCAGAGAAUGACCUCCUCCCAAAUGGUGGCCUGAGAAGGCAGAGGGUUUAGCAUGAUUUCCGCGUCAGAGGGCCAGUAUAGCUCACUGGGGACGGAGAAGCUGGUCACCCGGCGUGCAGGAGGGCAGGCCAAGUAGGGAGCAGAUGUCAAAGAAAAGAGGUGGGACUCCCUCACGUGCCGGGCAGGCGGCAGUGAAGUGGAGCAGAGCCCGUGUCUGAGCACAGUGAUCCCGCGCAGUGUGGAAAAGAGAGUGACAGUGGAGUCGGGCCGCCACGGCAGGGUGUGUCGCGGGAGUGUAUGGGACAAGAAAGGGGUAGGCGGGUGGAGGAGUAGAGAAGCUCUGGUGGCUUCAAGGGCUCAGGUUUGAUAAAAGGGCAUCAGGGAGAAUGGAACAGUGCCGUGAAGGACUCCCCAUCUGGGACACGGGCAGCUCUGGGGGCGAGAGGAAAGGCUUAUGUGGUAUUGAGGCCAGAAGGCAGGAGCACGCUAGGAAACAGAAGCAAGUGGGUGCUGUCGGAUGUUCAGCACGUGCUCUGAUGGGGCAGUAGACAGUGCAGAGUAUCUGCAGAGGGAGCAGCUGCCGGACAGCCAAGCAGAAAGCACGGUGGUCCCGGGCAGCCCAAUGGACUCUGAAAGCACUGCUCCGAGCACUGGAAAAUAUGCAAGUUGUUGAUGGUGACACACUACUUACAUAUUUACUGUCUUUCUAAUGGAAAUGAGCAGAUGAAAAACGGGAAGAGAAGUGGUUAAAAUGAAAUUAAGUUGACAGUGUACUUACUAAUUAAUUCUUGGAAUUACUGAGCAACAUUCUAAUGGUUAUGACGCACAGCGCUGCCUGUGAACUUGAUCACCGUUAAGGGGAUAAAGGAAAACGGGAGAAAUAUAUAAAAAUAAAUUGUUGUAGGAAGACAGGUGUCUGCCUGCAAAGUCUCUCAGAUCAUCACAUGGAAGUGGGUAGGUGCAGGAAAAUAAUGUCGUAUCAUCUGGAGAUAAAUUCAUGAAGUGAAGCCUGAAGGUGCUUCACGCACUCCUGAUGUCCAAAGAUCAAGGCGCAAGCCAGUCACAAGAGGAACUGUGAGUGACGAGUACUCACUCGCAAGUGGAACCAGGACUGACUGCUGCAGACGAGCGGAGGGUUUUCUCUAUGGCCAAAAGAAGGGAAAAGAGGAAAUGAGUGGACAUGCCACCUUUUGUUGCCUUCUGGAGAGACAGUAUCAUGCAGGAAAGGCAGCGACAAAGAUUUGUACGCCGGUGAUGCUGUGACAAGGGAACAUGUAAUAGGACGGGAAGCAGGAAGGAAGUAAACAGAGAAGGGAAUGAUAGAAAUUUCAGUGUAUGUGAGGGGAGCCAGAUGGGGGGGCAAGAUGAGUGAGCAGGUGGAUAAGGGGACUGGGAAUCUUGGCCAAUCUCAUCAUGGGUCAGACUGGAGGAAUACUGGCCAGACUGCUGCCCACUAUGGUGAUGGAGGCAGAGGAAGUGGUGGUUGAAUAAUAAUGUUCUACCUGUCCUACUUUUUUAGUAUUUGAAUAAGAAAUUGGGAUAUGUGCUUAGCUUGAAGGAUGCAGAGUUUCAUGAAGGGUCAUGAAGAAGGAUUCCAGUGAGUAGUUGUAGGUAGGUAAAAGUGAGACACUCUGAGAUGUAUUUCAGUUAAGUGAAGCUGCUCAUCCAGUGUGUCGGGAGCUAAUAUGAUUAAUAUCAAACAGCAGACCAUGGAAUGGAGACUACAGACCGGCAGGGGGCUGGGGCAUGGCCGGGUUGGGGGAGAGGGUGGUUCGGAGCCUGUCAGAAUCCUGCAGUAGCUCAAGUGAGGAUGGGUGUCAAGGACAUGUUGGCAGGAAGUCAAGCCCAGCAGCAGAGAGGAGUUAGGAAUUGUCACAGUGUCCCUCGUGACAGAGGGCGAGGCGCCUACACAUGUGCUGUUCAGCCGGAUCUUGGGAUGGAUACUUUCCACUGCAGACUUUCUAAGUGAGUCAUUUAAAUGCGGUGAAGACGUCUGAGAUGGGAAGUGUGAUACACUAAGGCCGGAUGGUCCCAUAAUGCAAACAACAGAGGGGUCACAGUGAUUCGGAACAGGGAGUGGGACAAAAAGCUCAACAGGCAGGGGUCAGCGAGAGGAAAAGGCUUGUAGGAUGUCGCACACGUCAUCUGAGUGCAGUAAAGCCUCAGGGGAAAGGAAGUUGCUGGAUGGGAAAGGACGCUAAGAAAGAAGACUGCCUUGAAGGCUUUUCUAAACAUUCUGGCAUAAAGGAGGAACAGCUGGAGGAGAGAAGAUGACCAGUAGGACUCACAGAAUUGAGAUCUGUGAUACCGAUAACUUUCCACACACUGUCCACAAUCUGAGGGAAGGACUUAUGGGACCAUCUUGGUGUUGGGUUUAGGUAAAUCUUAUCAGAUGGGGUUUAGAUGUUUUGUACACAUAUAUAGUAAGGGGGGAGAGAGAAAAGCUCAAGAUACAGCAAAGAUCAGGAUAAUUGCUAGGAUAGCUCUCUGGAGGUUGGAGGGCGUGUGUCCUUGUGAACUGUGAUAGACUUGAAAGAAGAAAGAGAGGAAGUGGGUAGUUCCAGAUGAAGCAAUAACAACUUCCAUUUAUUGAGUAUUUACUGUGUGUCUGGUACCAUGCUAAUCAUCUUAUGAAUUUCAUUUCAUCUUUGUAACAGUCCUAAAAGGUUUACAGAGAAUUAAUAAUCUGUCUAAGUUACCCAGUCCAUAUGUAGCAGUCAAAAUCCAGAUCCCAAUCUAUCUCCCAAAAAUCUAUCUAUCUCUGUCUUUCUAUUAUGCUAUACAGUUUUCGAGUUGAUAGAAAUCGCGAUCUGUGUAAUUUCUUUUUUUCUUUUUCUCUUCUGUGGUUGUGUGAAAAAUAAACUUUUUGCAAUUAGUAGAAGUGAUGUAUAGAUCUUCAGGUGAUUGGAAAAAUUCAUAGUAUUUGCAGUGGGGAAAAUGCAAAAUGGUGGGGGGGGGUAAGAAGACUCUUAUUACCAUCUAUGCCCUGGUAUUUCACUUCUGUUCUUUGCACAGCAAAGACUCUGAAUUGGCCAUUGAUUAAAAAUGUGCGAAUUUCUGACCAAACUAAAGAAUAGAAAGGAGUUUUCUUUUAAGCAGGCAUGUGAUAGGUCAAAUAUAAAUUGGUACUAACAAUUAAGUUUUAAACGUCCAAGUGUUGAGACAAAAUUCCAUUUCUUUUCUCCAAGAUGCAAGGACAAGAGUUUAUAACUCUAAACAAGAGUUUAACACCAAUCAGCAAACCCCUUGAAAAGUUUAAUAGGAAAUAAAGAAAAUUCUCCAAGUGCCAAAUUUUUAUAAAUAAAAUACUAACAAACCAUCAAGCAAAAGAGUCCACAGCCAGCAGACCAAAAGUUGAAACCUCUGGGCUAAUUUGUAAGAUCUACGCUUUAAAAAUAAAUUAACUCUUUAGAAAGGAGGGGUGAGAAAACCUUCCCUAUGCUUCUUUUCUUGGUAGAAAUGUUUUCUCUUAUUGUUGUGGUUGUUUUCUCCUGUACAAUGUAAUUUCUGUAAUUUCGAUAUUGUUGUUUUCUGUAUUUUGAUAUUGUAAACUUGUAUUUCUUGUAUUCUGUGAAGACCACUCCCUGGGGUGUGAGGCACCUGAGUUGUCGUCUAUCCAAGUGAGCCUGGGGAAAUGGAAGGAGCUAGUAUUCUCAGUUGGGAAGAGUUGGAUUCUUCAGUGAGUUCGGCAUUUCAUGUCCCUUUAAAAUUAAAUUGCAAAGUAAUGGCAUCCCUUAAAAAAAGAGAAACCUUAGAAGUCCAAUAAGGGGAGGAAUUCUGAAAAAAGGAGAGGGGGCUAUUGGGAAAAAAGAAAAAAAAAAAAAAAGAUAAAAUGCCGUUUCCCAGUUUCCCAGGAUGAUGGUGGAAGCCACAGGGCCAUGUUAAGACUGGGCCCCGAUACUGGUUUAGAACAAGGGCGAAUAAAACUGACUUGACUUCAGAAUACGGCCAGCUUCAUUAGUGGCUGGUGGACAUCCUUUAGAUGAAUGUCAGAGGGAAACGACCAGGAGAGAAAGUGAAGCCAAAAGGGGCUGGAGCUAGAGAAACUGCAUAAAGGGAUAAAGGAGGUGAUUAAAAGUCAAAGUCAGAUGGCCUGAUGCUUGAAGGAGAAAUACUGGAGGCCAGAUAGGAAAGUGCCUUCCUACCCAGGGGGUUAUGGAUCCAGAGUGGCUGCAAAAGAGAACAGCAGGUCCGCCGAGGGCCAGAAGGAACCACCUGGGAUUCAGACCCAGCAAUGGUGCCAACUUGAAUCUACCUCGUGCUAGAGAGAGUAGCCUGGUCUAUCGUCCAACACAGAGGAGGUUGGGCAGGGGCUCCCAGAACCAACAACUAAAAAGGGAGUUGGGAGAGGAGCUAAGAGAAGGCAGGUUAAGCCCCAGACAGAACUGAAUGAUGACCAGGGAUAACUAUUUACUAGUACUUUUACAAUUUCUUGUAACUCUGUAACUUCUUUCCCCAGUAUUUGUGAAUUUUGUUAACUUCUGUUUUCUCCUGUACCAGUAGUAAAAAUUGUUUCUUCAUGUA